rnacentral:rRNA from 1 species
UACGAAGGGGGGCUAGCGUUGUUCGGAAUUACUGGGCGUAAAGCGCGUGUAGGCGGCUGGUCAAGCGUGGUGUGAAAUCUCCGGGCUCAACCCGGAAACUGCAUUGCGAACUGACCUAGCUGGAGUGCAGGAGAGGGCAGCGGAAUUCCCGGUGUAGCGGUGAAAUGCGUAGAUAUCGGGAAGAACACCAGUGGCGAAGGCGGCUGCCUGGCCUGUAACUGACGCUGAGACGCGAAAGCGUCGGGGAGCGAACCGG